AUUGAUUCAGGGUGGUCAGUAAUUUGAAGGAGCCCCCCCAUCCCCCUUUUCUCAAUUUCAGAAAUCUAUGCUACAUUGGAGAAGAGUUCUGCGACUCAGUGCGUCUGCCCCUCAACUCCCUGACGCCAUAAACCCUAUCAAACACUGGGUCCAUGAAUAUAAGACUGUUUAUGGAGGGUCAGGAUACUGUGGAUGUGGAAAUCAGCCUUUCCCUGUACCAUUCACUCUUCAAAAUAUGAUUCGUAGACCAUUUCUUAAUGGCGAUUAAUCACUAUUAUACCUCAAUCUGAAGCUCAAAUUGAGGGUGAAGAGUGGAAAUCUUCUUCUCUUGUUUGGAAGAUUUGUAUUGCAAGUAUUUGGAUACGUGGAGGAGAAUUAUUAUUGCAAGUGGUCGCGAGGUUGGGCAACUUAACACUGGUGGUGUAUGCAGGCAUUAGGUACACAGUCACAUUAAUGUGCUCACAUUGCUUCAAUACCCUCCAAGUAACUUCAUUCAGUAGAAAAAUACAAAGACUUAUCCAAGACAAGAUGGGUACAUGUUCAAGUUUUCAUUUUGCCAUGUGAUCAUAUUAAACAGUACAAUAUUUGAGAAAAAAGUGCAGAGGAUAUCAGAAGUUGCAAUAACAUUGAAAGAGAUAACAGAAGCUAUUUAUUUCAGCUACUGCAGAUAUUAGUGCAAGAAACACGAGUAAUUCCAUUUCUAAAAAAACAGGUGAUAAAAUUGAGGAAAUGUAGUGUUGGAGCUUCAAGGACUACUUAGAACCCUCCAGCAUUUGCGCACAACAUCUGACGGUGGUCCACCACAUUGGUUUUCCCAGUCGGAGUGCUCUUCCACACGAGAAAACUCUCCUCUUUUGCUCUUUUUAACAGGUCUUGAUGGAUUUGGAAUUAGACUUUAUUUGCAAUAUCAAAGGCUUGGGCAGUAGGUUCAUUAGCACUCUCAAGUCUGCUCAGUACAAGUCGGGGAUUUGAGCUUUAGUGAGUCUAGGGUUCAAGAUCUGUGGAGGCUAUUUAAAUUAUGUAAAUUACCAUUUCUCAAUAAUUUAAUAAUGUUAUUGAGUAUUGCCAAAUGCUAACAAUUAUUCUUAUUUCUUUUUUUCCCUUCAAAGGAAUUUUGAUAUAUGGUGCUUGCAUAUUCUUAUUGAUGACUGGACACCAUUUCCAGGUCCCUUUCAUCUCUGUAUUACAUAAGCACAACAUAUUCAUUUUUUUGUCCUCAUUGUGUGACGUUAAUGAGUAGGGUUCUUAUAGUCAGUUAAGGACCUUUCUAUGAUAAUGGUACCAUGUCAGUAGGUCAAUACCUCAGCUACCACUUUGCUUCUUCUAUCUCUUAUAGCUCAGAAUUGGUGAAACUGGUUGAAAGAACAGUUAGAUUGGAGAAUCGCCAAAUAGGCCAAUAUAUCUUGUUGGAGAAUCUUUGGAGGAUGCUUAACACUAGACGUCGCUACCUGGAAUCCUGAUAUCGAUCUUGUGUUGAUUUUGGCUAAUCCAUGUUAGAAAUUUGUUCCUUAAUAACACUAUCAUAUUAUAUUGUAUAGUGAUCCUUUCUUGA